ACGGAGGGUGCGAGCGUUAAUCGGAAUUACUGGGCGUAAAGCGCGCGUAGGCGGUUAUUUAAGCUAGAUGUGAAAGCCCAGGGCUCAACCUUGGAACUGCAUUUAGAACUGGGUAGCUAGAGUACAGCAGAGGAUAGUGGAAUUUCAGGUGUAGCGGUGAAAUGCGUAGAUAUCUGAAGGAACAUCAGUGGCGAAGGCGACUGUCUGGGCUGAUACUGACGCUGAGGUGCGAAAGCGUGGGGAGCAAACAGG
rnacentral:rRNA from 1 species